CAUAUUUAACAAAUGACACAUGGAGGUCUAUUGUAGACCAAAUUAAAUUCUAGUUUUGUUGCGGGGCAAAAUGUUAAGUUUAAAACAAAAGAUUUACGAGUAAAAGGCCUUUGAUCUAGCGGUAUAAGAAGUGUUGGAAAUGUGUCCUUCCCCAACACGUUGAGGGUUGAGUACUAUGGUGGAGAAAAGGUGUAAAUUUAGGAGUACCAUUAAAUGGGUGUGUGUGAGUUAGUCGUUUUGAAAAAGAAAAAAAAAACCCGAAAGGUUUACCUAAAACUAAAUAUCACGUUACUCAUACUAUAGACAACCAAAAAAAUUGUUGUAUUUAUUUUACGAUUAAAGAAGUAUAUAAUCCUUUGUUUAGUAUUCACUAACAUAUACUUUGUUUGACAAAUAUAACUAUUACAAUAACAUUUUUCAUGACUUAAUUAUUGUCGUCGUAAGUUCAACGAAUGAUAUACGUACACUUUUAUCAGUCUGGGGAGCUUUUAAAAAGAGAAUUCACAUCAUUUUGCACCAAAACUAUUUCUUGACUUAUAAUUGUGACCUACAUCUAAGGUGCUGUUUGUUUUUUUAAAAAAAAACCACUUCAAACCACUUAUUGCUGCACCGCGCAGCACACGCGCAGCACUUGGCCAUUCGCAGCUGUUUGUUUUUCAGAAGACUUGUGACUUAAAAACUGCUGCGCGUGUGCUGCAUGGCGCAGCACUAAACCAACUGCUUCAAACCUCUUCACGCAUUAGUUUAACUUACUGCAGCAGUCUGCAGACGUUAAAAAACAAACACAAUUUUUAUUACAAACUGCAGCCGUUUGUUCCACCUCUUCUGCUACAGAGGAUUGAAGAGGUGGUCCGCAGACUUCAAGCAAUUUCUCUUCGAAAAAACAAACAGCACCUAAAUAUUUGAGAAAGAAAGUGAUGGCACAUUAAGAAUUCAGAGUGGGCAAUUUUAUAAAAGUUAGGACUUAAUGGUUUCCCCAAACAUUCUUUUUCAAGUCAUGUUCAUAUUAAGUUUGUUAAAUAAAAUCUUAAAUACGCUUGUAUAAUGACAAAAUUGGUAGGACCUUAUAAUUAUUCUUGUAUCAUUACA
rnacentral:lncRNA from 1 species